rnacentral:rRNA from 1 species
AACGAACGCUGGCGGCAUGCCUAACACAUGCAAGUCGAACGAGACCUUCGGGUCUAGUGGCGCACGGGUGCGUAACGCGUGGGAACCUGCCUUUAGGUUCGGAAUAACUCAGAGAAAUUUGAGCUAAUACCGGAUGAUGUCUUCGGACCAAAGAUUUAUCGCCUUUAGAUGGGCCCGCGUUGGAUUAGCUAGUUGGUGGGGUAAAGGCCUACCAAGGCGACGAUCCAUAGCUGGUCUGAGAGGAUGAUCAGCCACACUGGGACUGAGACACGGCCCAGACUCCUUCGGGAGGCAGCAGUGGGGAAUAUUGGACAAUGGGCGAAAGCCUGAUCCAGCAAUGCCGCGUGAGUGAUGAAGGCCUUAGGGUUGUAAAGCUCUUUUACCCGAGAUGAUAAUGACAGUAUCGGGAGAAUAAGCUCCGGCUAACUCCGUG